AAUAUUGGAUAAUGGGGGCAACCCUGAUCCAGCCAUGCCGCGCGGGUGAAGAAGGUCUUCGGAUUGUAAAGCACUUUAAGUUGGGAGGAAGGGCGUUAGGUUAAUACCCUGAAGUUUUGACGUUACCUUAAGACUAAGCACCGGCUAACUCUGUGCCCGCAGCCGCGGUAAAUCAGAGGGUGCAAGCGUUAAUCGGAAGUAAUGGGCGUAAAGCGCGCGUAUGUGGUUCAGUAAGAUUGGUGUGAAAUCCCCGGGCUUAACCUGGGAACUGCUUUCAUAACUGCUGAGCUAGAGUACGGUAGAGGGUAGUGGAAAUUCCUGUGUAGCGGUGAAAUGCGUAGAUAUAGGAAGGAACACCAGUGGCGAAGGCGACUACCUGGACUGAUACUGACACUGAGGUGCGAAAGCGUGGGGAGCAAAC
rnacentral:rRNA from 1 species